rnacentral:lncRNA from 1 species
GAGUUGUUAAUCCUACUUAUAAAGGUUGGCCUCGUGCAACAGUUAAGGCCGAUAUUUAUGAAUUCAAACAUGAAUAUGAACAAUAUUUGCGCUAUUUAUUUACUUAUAUACCUAAUCGUAUUUCUAUUACUACUGAUAUUGGUAGAAGUAAUAAUGACUGUGAUUAUCUAACUGUUACAAGUCAUUGGAAAGACGAGGACU